rnacentral:rRNA from 1 species
AGAGUUUAAUCAUGGCUCAGGAUGAACGCUAGCGACAGGCUUAACACAUGCAAGUCGAGGGGCAGCGGGGAGUAGCAAUACUUCGCCGGCGACCGGCGCACGGGUGAGUAACACGUGUGCAACCAACCCCGUACCGGGAGAUAACCCGCGGAAACGUGGACUAACAUCCCAUAAUACUGGAGGAUCGAAUGAUCUUUCAUUUAAAAUUCCGGUGGUACGGGACGGGCACGCGCGACAUUAGGUAGUUGGCGGGGUAAGGGCCCACCAAGCCGACG